ensembl:lncRNA
GGCAAAUGGGGAACAGAGGGGGGCAACUGAGGGCCCAGGGGGGCAACUGGGGGGCCGGGGGGGGCGGCCGUGGCCGUGGGGCUAAGCCCAGCCUUCAUCCCCCCACGUGACCUGGGGCUCUGGGUGGGCACCGAGCGGGGAAGGGAAAGGGCCGUGGGUGCCACCAUCCCGGGGACGGCCCGACGGGCACAGGAUGUCUUUGGCCGCCCUCCCCUCCGCCAGCAGCGCGGCCUCGUCGGCGUCGUCGCGCGCCCUGCGUGCGCUGGUGGCGCUGGCGGAGGCGUUGGGGUCUCCGGGGCCGCCGUUGGAGGCGGCGGUGGCGGAGGCGGAGGAGGCGGCGGCGGCGGCGGAGGCGGCGCUGGAAGGGCUGGAGGCGGCGCUGGCGGAGGCGCUGACCCACGCGGCUGAGCUGAGGCCUCCGCGGGGCCUGGAGGCCCAAGGGCUGUACCGGGCGCUGCGGGACAUGGCGGCCGCCCACGUGCGGGAGUUGGAGCGCGAGAUGGGCCGCAACGCGCGGCGCCGGAGGCUGCUGGGGGUCCUCCGCAACGCCGCCGUGGGGCUGCUGCUCCUCUGCGCGCCGCUGCUGUCCGUGGACGCGGUGCGGGAGGCGCUGGGGGUGACGCAGGAGAGCCACGUGGUGCCGUGCCUGGCCACCGUGACGGCCGUGUGCCAGGUGGCCCUAUGGGGCGCCGAGAAGUCCGAGGCCCAUUUGGCGGCGGCGGCGGAGGAGCAGCGGCGGCAGACGGCCCGUUACGGCCGCAUGGCUCAGAGCGCCGCCGCCGACGCCGCCGAAGCCGCCGAAGCCACCGGAGCCAUCGGCGCCGCCAGCGCCGCGCGGGAGACGCUGGAGGAGGUGAGCACCCAGCUGAGGCUCCUGGCCGCCGCCGUCGCCCGGGACCUGCAGGCCGACCGAGGGUUCCCCGGCAGCGCCCGCGCGCUCGGCAACGCCGUGACGGCGCUGGGGACGGUGCUGAAGGACCAGGAGGGGACGCAGAGGUUGGCCCGAGCGCUGCAGGGGCUGAGCGGGGACGAGUAGGGGGGCGGUGGGGGGCUCCGUGUCCUGGGGGCGACGCCAUAUGGGACAGACGGGGGCACCAGGAGGGUUUUCCAUGUCCUGGGGGCAGCCCCAUGUCCCAUAUGGGGGCACCAGGGGGGUCUUCCAUGUCCUGGGGGCAACACCAUAUCCCAUAUGGGGGCACAUGGGGGGUCCUCCGUGUCCUGGGGAUGCCCUGAUGUCCCAUAUGGGGACACUGGGAGGGUCUUCCAUGUCCUGAGGGCAACCCCAUGUCCCAUAUGGGGACACCAGGGGGGUCCUCCGUGUCCUGGGGAUGCCCUGAUGUCCCAUAUGGGGACACUGGGAGGGUCUUCCAUGUCCUGGGGGCAACCCCAUGUCCCCAUAUGGGGGCACAUGGGGGGUCCUCCGUGUCCUGGGGAUGCCCUGAUGUCCCAUAUGGGGGCACAUGGGGGGUCUUCCAUGUCCUGGGGGCAACCCCAUGUCCCAUAUGGGGACACCAGGGGGGUCCUCCGUGUCCUGGGGAUGCCCUGAUGUCCCAUAUGGGAACACUGGGAGGGUCUCCCAUGUCCUGGGGGCAACAUCAUAUAGGGACAGAGAGGGGCACAUGGGGGGUCCUCCAUGCCUUAGGAACAUUCCCACACCCCAUAUGGGGGCACAUGGGGGGUCCUCCAUGCCUCAGGGACCCCCUGAUGUCCCCACGUCCCAUAUGGGGUACAUGGGGGGUCCUCCAUGCCUCAGGGACCCCCUGAUGUCCCCACACCCCAUAUGGGGGCACAUGGGGGGUCCUCCAUGCCUCAGGGACCCCCUGAUGUCCCCACGUCCCAUAUGGGGUACACGGGGGGUCCUCCACGGGCUCACCCUGACGUCCCAUUGGGACAAUGCGGAGCUGUGGGGACGCGCGGACCCGCGCACGUCGGGGCCGAUUGGGCGUCAGCGCCCCCCCGCCCCCAAUAAACUUCUAGCUGAUUGCUUCACGUUUGUCACUCAAAAAGGGGACAUUUUGGGGUCGAUUCGGAGCCCCCCGCGCCGCCCCGCCGCCCCGCCGCCGCCAUUUUCUCUCAGCGCCCACGCUCACCCUUGACCCCGACCUUCCGGCUCUGAUUGGCUAUCCGCGAUGCCACUCCUCGCCAACACCACUUCCCACUGGCCAGAGGGGAGGCGGGACCGCCGCGCUGGGGCGUUCCAUUGGAUGUUUCUUUCCCGCCCGCAAGGCUGGGGGCGGGCUUUUCGGCCCGCUCCGCGCGCUGAUUGGUUGAGCCGCUGCGGGCGGGAAGAGGGGCUGUGGGGGCGCGUUCCCGGCGUGCACCGCGCGGCUGUGAGGGGAGAGGGUCGGAGGGGAACUGGGGCCCAGCAGGUGCCACCAAUGGCUGAGGGUCCCCCGGAGCCACCGGGUACUGGUCUGCAGGGCCUCAUCCCCCCAUCACACUUCACGCUCCGUCCCCCUGCCCCCAGCACCAGCAGGAUGCUGGAGGUGGAGAGGAGGCGGAGCCAAGCUCUGGGCGCGGAGCUUGAGGCAGAGAGGAGGCGGAGCCACAGCCUGGAGGCAGAGCUUGAGGCAGAGAAGAGGCGGAGCCACAGCCUGGAGGUGGAGCUUGAGGUGGAGAGGAGGCGGAGCCUACGGUUGGGGGAGGAGCUUGAAGCUGAAAGGAGGCGGGGCCAAGCCAAGGGGGCGGGGCCUGAUGGAGAGAAGCCCUCAGAGGAGACCCCAUUGCUGCUCCGUGCGCAGCUCAGCGCUCUCAGCCACAUCCUGACCCUGCAGGAGCGCGAGCUGAACCGGGAGCUGCCCCCCCCCCGGCUGCAGGCGCUGCUGGGGCGAUGGCGGCAGAAGGUCUUCGCCCUCCUGGUGCAGCUGCGGGUGCAGGAUGAGAGCCAGCAGGUGCAGCGCCUGGCACAGGAGGUGACACGGGAGCGGGGCCGGGCGGAGGCGGCUGAACAGGCACUGAGGGGGCUGUCCCAUGCGGCCACCAGGUUGGCUGUGGUGGUGACACGCUGUGAGGAUGAGGUGAUGGCGGCCAUCGGGGCCAUGGCUGCACUCAGCGACCGCCUGCACCGCGCCGGGCAGCGGCUGAGGGUCCUGCAGGGGCUGGUGGCCCCGGAUCGGCCGCGGUGGCAGCGGGAGGCAGCGGGUGAGACGUGAGUGAUGGGAUGGGGGGACACGGGGGUGACAGAGCCCUGUCCCUGCUCCUGGCGGCCCCCGGGGGUGACGCGGUGGCACUGUCCCCACUGUGUCCCCACUCGUGUCCCCAGGGCCGCGGUGACACGAGGAACCCAUCGGCUCACAGGGAUGGGGGCUGAGCUGCAGCAUGGCGGUGAGUGGGGACCCUAUAGGGACAGUGUGGGGACAGUGGCGCUGCGGAUGUACCGGGGGGCACAGAGUGACAGCUGUGUCCCUGCAGUGUCCCCACCGUGUCCAGUUGUUGUCACCUCCACCGCAGGGGUGGCCCCGGAGCGGGUGACGGAGGAUGGGGUGACACAGGAUGGGAUAGACAAUGAGGUGACACAAUGGCACGGGGACACCCGGGGGGGACAGGGGGGCCUUUGGGGACACAGAGGGGCACACGGGGUCUUUGGGGUCAUGGGGGGGGACAUAGGGGACACAGAUCUUUGGGAACACAGGGGGGACAUGGGGGUCUUCGGGCACACGGAAGGGGACACGGGGGGAUAUGGGGGUCUUUGGGGACACGGUCUUUGAGGACAUGGGGGUCUUGGGGGCACAGGGGGGGGACACUGGAGUCUUUGGGGAUGGGGGGAAUGGGGACACGAGGUCUCUGGGGACAUGGGGGGGGACACAGCGUCCCUGUGUGACCCACUGUUCCCCUCAGGUCACUUCCCACGGGGACAGCGCAGGCCCUGCCCACAGCAGAGGUACAUCUGGUGCCCCCUUUGUCAUUCCCCCCCCCUGGCAGUGUCCCCACGUCCCCCCCCCCACCCCGAUGUCCCCCAUCCCUCACUGUCCCCCCCGUCCCCCCCCAGUGGCGCUGUGCUCCCUGGUGGCUGAGCUGCAGGCGAUGGGCGCUGCCAUCCUUGGGGACCCCCCCUGACCCCCCCGGCGCGGUGUCCCGGUGAGUGUCCCCUCGUGCCACCCCCCCCCAGUGACAGUGACAGCAGCCCGGCCGCACAGCGCUUCCUUUGGGUUUAUUUUACGCAUUUUCCCCUUUUGGGGGCCCAAUAAAGUUGGUGGUGUGAUAUCGUUGGUGGCACCGCGUCCCUGGGGGGGGGGCGGGGGGUGGGAGAGUCCUCGGGGUCUGAGCGGGCGUGGGGGGUCCCCAAGGAUGGGAGGGGAUAUUGGGGUAACCACGGGGUCAUGAGGGGACGUUGGCGUCCCCAGGAGGUGGCACUGGGACUUCCACAGGGACAGGAGGGGACAUUGGGGUUCCCAUGGGGACAUGAGGGGACGCUGGGGUCUGUAGGUGACAUGGGCCCCAUAUCCCCCAACCCCCCCAUAUCCCCCAACCCCCCCAUGUCCCCCUACACUCCUAUCUCCAUCCCUCUUCCUAUUCCUCCCGUCCCACCUUAUCCCCCUCCCCACCCUCCUAUCCCCCCCAUAUCCCUCCACAGCCCCAACCCCCCCACAUCCCUCUAUGCCCUCCAUGUCCCCCCUUACCCCAUCUCCCCCACAUCCCUCCACUCCCUCCAUAUCCUCCUAUCCCCCCCAAGUCUAUCUUCCCCUAUUCUCCUAUCCCCACAUACCCCUACACCCCCAUCCCCCCAU